rfam:Gorilla gorilla gorilla genomic chromosome, chr11, whole genome shotgun sequence
GCCUGGCAUGGUGAUGCAUACUUGUUAUCCCAGCUACUCAGGAGGCUGUGGCAUGAGAUUCACUUGAACCUAUGAGACAGAGGUUGCAGCAAGCUGAGAUUGCGCUACUGCACUCCAGCCUGGGUGACAGNNNNNNNNNNCUGUCACCCAGGCUGGAGUGCAGUAGCGCAAUCUCAGCUUGCUGCAACCUCUGUCUCAUAGGUUCAAGUGAAUCUCAUGCCACAG